rnacentral:lncRNA from 1 species
UUUGGGUUAAUUACAUAAAAUUUUCUAUAAAUAUAUUAAAUAGUAAAUAUAUUCAAAUAAAAUUUAAUUUUUUAUAUUUAUUUUUAAUAUUAUUAAAUAUAAUCUUAUUGUUAGAAUUCAUUAAAAAAAUUAGUUAAUUAUAGAUAAAAUAUUUAACGCUGGUUAAUAAAUAAGAUAAAUUAAUCUUUUUACCACUUUUAUAUUAUUUGUGAUGGCAAAAAAAAAAAUUCUUGGAAAUUUUUGAAAGAAGUUUUCUGCAUAAUUUUAACAGUUAGUGUUUUAGGAGAAAUAUAUUUAUAAUAGUAAAAAUAUAAUUUUACUUAUCUUCUUAAAAAAUAAAUAGUGAUAUGAUGAUAACAAAUCAGAGAUGCAAACAAAUAUGAAUAUUAUUUUAAUUUUAUAGGGAUAAAUAUGAAAAAUUAAAUUUUUUAAGAAUAUAUAUUUAUUAUUCGAUAUUUUUAUAGAAAAAUGUAUGAAAUUAACUUUUUUUUUUAUUUGCAUAUACAACAGGGGCUACUCCAUUGAAUUGAAGCUUUGUUUAUAUAAAGAUAUCACAGUGUGUGUUACGGGUAAUUUUCGCUUUUAAAUAGGAUACACAAUGGUAUUACAGGUGUGAACCUCAAAUUUUCUUUAUCGCUUUAUUAUUAUUUCACUACAGAAUUUAUUUAAUUUUGUCAUUAUCAACAUCUUUUUCAAAAUGGUAUCAAUCUUUUGAUACCGAUCAUUUUUAGCACAAGUGGUAAAGAAUUUGAUAAUUAGUACUGGAGGUCUCAAGUUUGAAUCUCAUUUGAUUCAUAUUUACGACUAAGUUUAUUUCUAAAAAAUAAAUAAAAUGGAUAGUAUGCUACAUUUCUUAAAAAAAAAAAAAUUUGAUGCUUUUCCAAGAAGAAAAAACUGAAGUCUUUUUAAGUAACCGCCUCUUUCAAUGGUCCUUUUAUUUAUAUAUAUAUAUAUAGUGUAGGGCUAGAAUACUUUUACAAGUAUCACCCAAGUGAUACUUGUGUGUUUUUAGCCAUUGAAUCUACUUUUUGAUUACUAAUAGUCCUUAGAUCAAACACUAUUUCACCUACCACCACCUACCACCAUCAUCUCAACCUCACAUCUCUCCAUCCAAGGGCUAAAAAUACACAAGUAUCACUUGGGUGAUACUUUUACAAGUAUUCUAGCUCUACUCUAUAUAUAUAUAUAUAUA